GGAGGGCAUUUCACGGAAGGAGCAGGCAGCAAAUUACCCACUGGGUCGAAGACCGAGGUAGUGACGAAAAAUAACGAUACCGGACUCAUCCGAGGCCCGGUAAUCGGAAUGAGUACACUUUAAAUCCUUUAACGAGGAACAAUUGGAGGGCAAGUCUGGUGCCAGCAGCCGCGGUAAUUCCAGCUCCAAUAGCGUAUAUUAAAGUUGUUGCGGUUAAAAAGCUCGUAGUUGGAUCUCGGCAGGCAGGGGGUGGUUCGCUCCUUAGCGCUACUGCCCCAUUUGCCUGUGUGAUUGGCGGAGGUUUCGGGGUGCUCUUUGUUGAGUGACCCGGGGCGCCGUCAGGUUUACUUUGAAAAAAUUAAAGUGCUCAAAGCAGGCUUUUCACGCUUGAAUAUUCGUGCAUGGAAUAAUGGAAUAGGAACUCGUUUCUAUUUUGUUGGUUUUCGGAAAUCAGAGUUAAUGAUUAAGAGGGACAAUUGGGGGCAUGUACUAUUUCGGACGACAGAGGUGAAGUUCUUGUAACGUCAGAAGACUAAAUACUGCGAAAGCAUUUGCCAAGAGUGUUGUCAUUAUCAAGAACGAAAGUUAGAGGUUCGAAGGCGAUCUGAUACCGCCCUAGUUCUAACCAUAAACGAUGCCAGCUAGCGAUCUGCCGAGUUUUUUUUGUAGGCUCCGCAGGAAGCUUUCGGGAAACCAAAGCUUUUGGGUUCCGGGGGAAGUAUGGUUGCAAAGCUGAAACUUAAAGGAAUUGACGGAAGGGCACCACCAGGAGUGGAGCCUGCGGCUUAAUUUGACUCAACACGGGAAAUCUCACCAGGCCCGGACACUGGAAGGAUUGACAGAUUGAGAGCUCUUUCUCGAUUCGGUGGGUGGUGGUGCAUGGCCGUUCUUAGUUGGUGGAGUGAUUUGUCUGGUUAAUUCCGAUAACGAACGAGACUCUGUCCUGCUAAAUAGUUGGUUUGUCCUUCGUGCGAACCAAAUUCUUCUUAGAGGGACUGGCUGCGUCUAGCAGCACGAGAUUGAGCAAUAACAGGUCUGUGAUGCCCUUAGAUGUUCUGGGCCGCACGCGCGCUACACUGAAGGGAUCAGCGUGUUCUCCCUUCCCGAGAGGGACGGGUAACCCGCUGAACCCCCUUCGUGGUAGGGAUCGGAGCUUGCAAUUGUUCUCCGUGAACCAGGAAUUCCCAGUAAGCGCAAGUCAUAAGCUUGCGUUGAUUACGUCCCUGCCCUUUGUACACACCGCCCGUCGCUACUACCGAUUGAACGUUUUAGUGAGGUAUUUGGACUGGGCCUUGGAAGGUUUCGAUCUCCCCAUGCUGCUCGGGAAGACUCCACAAACUGAAGCUAAGAGA
rnacentral:rRNA from 1 species